rnacentral:rRNA from 1 species
CCGCCAGACUCCUACGGGAGGCAGCAGUGGGGGAUAUUGCACAAUGGGGGGAACCCUGAUGCAGCGACGCCGCGUGGGUGAAGGAGUGCUUCGGCAUGUAAAGCCCUAUCGGCAGGGAAGAAGCAAGACGGUACCUGACUAAGAAGCCCCGGCUAACUACGUGCCAGCAGCCGCGGGAAUACGUAGGGGGCAAGCGUUAUCCGGAUUUACUGGGUGUAAAGGGAGCGUAGACGGCAGCGCAAGUCUGAAGUGAAAUGCCAGGGCUUAACCCUGGAACUGCUUUGGAAACUGUGCAGCUAGAGUGCAGGAGAGGUAAGUGGAAUUUCUAGUGUAGCGGUGAAAUGCGUAGAUAUUAGGAGGAACACCAGUGGCGAAGGCGGCUUACUGGACUGUAACUGACGUUGAGGCUCGAAAGCGUGGGGAGCAAACAGGAUUAGAUACCCGUGUACAG